rnacentral:pre_miRNA from 1 species
UCUUCUUUUUGCACGCUCUUUCAUCGGUCAGAGAGGCGAGAGAGUGUGCGAAAUGAGGAGA